AAAAGAGGUACAAGCUUGUGAGGGUGCAGAGAGCCAGACAAUCCCCAUGAAGAGCAUCUUCACUCCAGGGUUUUUAGGCCCUUACUCUGGCUCAAGGGCUUCUCCUGAAUUUUGAGGAAGACAAGGCGACAGUCAAAGGGAGUGGUGGGCUCUGGCCCUGACUAGGAAGGGACAAAAUUUCCUGCAGGUGGUUGCCAAGAUUUGUCCCCCGACCGGGAUGUGUUCCUAGAGGGCGAUUUAAGCUCUUAAAUUGUUUUGGUGUCGUCUCCAUCCAGAUCUUCAAGAUGCUGAGAGAGGCUGUCUGGGGCAGUAGGGCCCUCAUGCACCCAGCACCCCCUCUGUGCCCUCUCCCCACCCUGAGGCUGAGGGUGCUGGGCUGUCUCCCUCCAUGCGGAGGUUUAGGGAAUGAAACCAGCUUCAUGUGCUUGCAGGGCUUUCUGACGGAAGUGGAAGCAGGAAGAUCAGGCCUGCUGGUCCUGUCCCAGGGCUUAGCUCUGCCAGGAGUGGCCUCGAGGCUGAGGGUGUCUGCUGCUGUCCCAAGUGGGGCGGUUAGUGGCCCUCCUUUCAAUCUUGGCUUAGUGAUGGGCAGCCCCUCUGCUGAAGACAAGCCCUGGACAGAGGAGACAGAGUGCAUGAGGUCAUGCAGCACCCACGGCCCCACAGGGGCAGAGUGAGAAGCUGAUCACGCCUCCCCAUGGGCCUCCAGGUCCCAGGAAUGAGGCACCCAUGGUUGUCACCUUUUUGGGUAUCUGCAGGGGAGGGUGGGGUUACCCUGGCAGUUCCUGAAAAAACAGGUGAGGACAAAUUCUGGUCACAUGUGGAGCGAUCAAGGGCAAGAACCCAGGACUCUCACGGCCCAGGCCCUUCUGGGUCAAAUGUUCUCGAUGGUGUGAUUUGAGCUUGAGGAGCCCUGGGCAUGUAGCAGAGCAGUCUUCUACCUUCAGCUUGUCUCUUGGUUCAGUCUGGAUAGGGCCGAGCAGGACUGAAAGCUGUUUACUUCCUAAUUCUGGGAACUGUUCAUAGAACUCUCACAAGAGGGUAUGGCUCAGACAUUGCCCAAAUGUGUAAUUUCCCUUUAAUCACCUUCAGCGCCUAGUCUUGUUUGUUUGGGUGGGGUGCUCUGUGUGCCCUACACGCCCUCCAGGCUCAUUUGUCUGCAAAUUAGCUUUUCCCUUGGAGCAAAAACAGGCUUUGCCAAGCACUGGGGUGCGGUGAGGUGAGCAGAACACUUUGGGAGGAAGCCUGCGCCCUCUCCUCCCACCAUCUCAACCCCGAGUCGCUCUCUCUGUGGCUGCUCGGUACAACGGAGCCAUGCACGAAGGCGGCAGAAGUGCAAAUGAGGUGCCCCCUCAACGCGUGUGAAAGCACAACCGAAAUGGCAAGUUUCGGGGGGCACCUUGCCGACGACGGGAUUAAGUUAGAACAGCCAGCUCAAACUUCAAGAUCUAGUCCUGCAGGUGAACAUGGCGGAGCUGGGCUCUGCCCGCGAGUGGGCCUGGGUGAGGUUGAGUCACAUGGGCAGUCUGUAAUCCUCCCCUGAAGCACUGAACCCCGGAGGGUGCCUUGAAGAGGGCCCCAGCUAAGGGAGAACAUAUGAAAGCUCACAGCGGCUCUGACACCUUUCCAGCGAGAUACAUCCACCGCUAAUCAACAAAGACAAGUCACAAGAAAUCAAGGACUAAAUUGUGUCCUGCUUGGAUGUUAGCUCCUGGCAGUGCCUGAGGGGCUAGGUCAAGGCCAUCAAAGAGGAGGCUUAGAAUUCCAGGAAAAGGCAAAAAACGUUGAGGAGUCUGUGAGUUUUCCCAGAAGAUGGACACAAGAUCUGGAUUCUGACAGCCCUUCUUCUGAGAACCACUGUGGGCUUCAUGACAGAAUCUUGUCAACUCAUAAAUUGAGCCACAGUCAGGUCAAGGCUAGAAAAAGGCCUUUGCAGAGAUGGAUUUGUAUAGGCUGUAACGUGUUCAAUCAAGUCAUCAGUUCUCGAGUUUAAUAAAAAGACAGAUGGAUAAGAUUAGAUGUGCAUCCCGUUAAGCUUAAGCCGUGUGUUUUGGGGAGACUUGAAUGAUGUUUUUAAAGGUGGGGAAUUUUUAGGGAGAUGAAGGAAACCCACAUACUAUGACUCUACAGGUACUUAACCCACCGACACCAGGUGAUACCUUCACGAACAAGCUUGAAAACCAGACAACCCAUCAUACUUGAUGUAGAAAAUGUUCCAGCUUCCAUAAUUCUUUAUUAAAUAUUUGACAAGUUGCAUCACUUCUUUACAACGACUUCAUUUUGUCACAUUGCUCUUUUGCUGUCAGGAAAACAAUCUACAAUUUCUCAAGAAAAAUGAAAAGCCAAAAGGAUUUAUUCUUAAACAAAACGUUUUCUGUGUUGUAUCAAAUUCAACCAGUUUAAAGCUACUCUGGAUUGUGAAAAUGAGCAUUGUCCAUAGGUUGUCUUUAAAAAAAUUUCAAAGCAGUUUGGUUUCUAAUCACCAUAUCAAAUAGUACUUGGCUUUAUAUUAGGAGGUGGGUUUAUAAUAAAAAGUUAUGAAACAUUGAGAAUUCAUUUGGAAUGCUUGAAACUCUUUUCACCUUAAAAGUCACUGUUUUUUCAUGUUUCAUUUGACAAUAGAUCCUGAAUUAAGAAAUGACAGCAUAUUAACAUCAUCUUCGGGGGGUUCUCUCAGGCUCCGGGGGUCUGAAUUCUCAGGAAACAGCUUGGAGCAAACUGUAGGAGAGACUAAACUCUCACUCCCUUUCAAAACCAGAUUACUCAAGAAAGGUGUAAAAAUGCUAUACAAAUAUACACGUAUAUAUUUGGACAGCAUAUGGACGUAUAUAUGUAUAUAUAUUACAUACAUAGUAGUAGAGAAAGAACAAAGUUAUGCAAAGGAUACCGUGACAAUCUAGGUGAAAUCAGUCUGAGUAGGAGGGAUGACCUGGCUUCUACUGGAACACAGAGGUUCGCAGACACAGGGAGAUGGUCACGAGAAAGGCUUUUGAUGCACUGAUACAAGGUUGAGAACGCAGUACACAGAGGUCUGUGGCCAGUGCGGUUAGAUUCCUAUUGUUACUCCUCACAAACAGACUAACCAACAAAAAGACAUGCAUUUUAAACAUGCGUUGCUUUGCGUGUAACACCUUUAACCAAAGAUGACAUCUCAUGAAAGGUUUUCUUGGAAAACCUCAUACACACACACACACACACACACACAAACACACACACACACACAAACACAGAAAGCUCUCCUUUUCUAUAAAACAUUACACAAAGCUCAUGUCCUGAUGCUACGGCAUUCUCUGACACACCGAAAACACUCUGGGGUGUGUGUGUGGUGUGUGUGUGGGUGGAUGGGUGAGCAAGUGUAUAUACACUGUUCAUUAAGGCUUAGAGAAAUUAAAAAAAGUGGUCCAAAGUAUAUCACAUUUUCUUCCCAGUUUU